GUAUCGUCAUACCAUCCAUCGGCCUGCCUCGCUCCCGCAACGCCCUUCCUCUCCCGUCACCACGAAGAUCUCCACUUGCUAACCGCCGCGCAGCUCCCCUACCCUUCUCCUCUCCGCGCUUGCUGCCGUCGAGGCCGGCAGACGCACGCCACCCUAAACCCCAGCACUCCGCCGGACGCACGCCAGGCCAACCGCCGCCGCGCAGCUCCCCCACGCAGAUCCCCUAAACCUUCUCCUCUCCGCGCUUGCUGCCGUCGCGGCCGGCGGACGCAGGCCAGGCUGCCCCAGCACUCCGCCGGACGCACGCCAGGCUGCCGCCGUCCAGCUCCGCCACGCAGAUCCCCCACCGAGGAGGACGCACCCACCACCCGCAGGUGAGGCAGGGCGGCUUCGAUUGGGCUGCGGUGAUUCGGGGGGCCGGAUCUGGCUGGGGCUUCAUCGGAUCUCAGGCCAUUUCGGCGUGGUUGCAUUCCAAAUCUCACGAUCCCUAAUCUUGGCUGCCACCACAAUCUCGCCGCGAGCCCCUGGAACAUCUACACCCGCUUCUCCGCUGUUGGCGUCGAGAUCGCACGCCGCGGGGAAGGCGCUCGUCGCUCGCGUCGGCGGUUCGAGGCCACCCGCCGUAGCCGCUCCCAUCGCUGCCGUAGGCGGUGGCUUUGCCUAGGAAGAGAGCCUUCCCUGCCAGUUCAACGGCGCAUCUCCAUCUGGGCAGGCACCUUUCCAAGGUCACACGACGCAUCUCCGUCUUCCCCGACGGGCGAGCUCAGCCUCUGCAACGAGUGAGCUCCCCGGCGGCGGCCGUAUCAGGCUCCUCUCCAAGGUCACGCGUGGGCUCCAUCUUCCCCAGCGAACCACACCCAGGCGAGGCUGCGAUGGCCUUGGCGGGUGCUCGUCCAAGGAUCCGCGCGGUGGUGAGUCAGGAUGGAUGAGGGGCCCUCGCACCACCAGUUAUUGUGCAGAAAGGAUUUGAUCCACAAUGGUUGGCAAAUGCACUGCGGACGACGAACUUAUCCGGCGUCCUCAUCAGCAAACUUGUCUGUAUAAAAGGAUCAGAUGCCCUUUCAAAACACUUGAAUAAUUAUAGAUUAUUAAUGGCUAAGCAAAAUCGUUUCUGCUAGAGUGCACACUUUAUGCUGCAAAUGCCAGGAUGCGAGACAUUGUCACAUCUUGUACUGCUGGCUAACUAUCUGUGUUCUCUCAUAAGAAUCAAAAUCGGUCAUAAAACCAGAUGGUGAGUUUUGUUAUUUUUAUGUGUAUGUUUGAUCAUUUUAUAUGAGAAGAGCCAUUUCACCUAGGUGUCUGGUUCUAAAUAGCAUAUGUAUGACUUUCUUAUGGUCAUUGUUUGUUAUCUAAAAAUAAUCAUCUCUGCCCCUACAUAAACCAAUGUUUGUAGAAUAAUAUAUAGACUGACUGUGGACUGUGCUAUAUGUUUGCUUUUGUUACAAUGAUGAUAUUCUUGACUAACAUGUCUGCCCCUGCAUAACCCAAGUUUGCUGAUGAGGACAAUCUCUUGUUCCUCGCUGAGAACUGAAAUUUCUUCUCCCUAUCCCUUUGAUCUUGUCUGGCUAUUUCCCGUGAGAAAAUGUCCUUUGACCUUAUAAUUAGGGCCUUAUUGAUGCUAAAGGUUAAUUAGAUUAUGGUAGAAGUAGGAGCCGUUAUAUAUUCACGUCAGAUCCUCUCGAAUUUGCUUAGUUAAAGAUAGUUUUCAUCCUAUGUGAAUGUGUUUCCUUUUCGUUUAAUUUCUGUAGAUAGGUUCCACAUUCCUGUCAACUAUGGAUGCUUUCCUCAUUUUCUCUUAUGAGUUUUUGUGAUGUUCAUUUGUAAUGUGUAAUCGCACUGAUAGUUUAGGAACAACCACAUUAGUUAAUGAACUUCCUUUCUGAAUUGGCCAGUGAAAAAGCAAUCACAAAUUAGGAAAAAUCUAAACUGAUGAUAGUGUAUGAGAAUUUGAUAGGCUGUGCCUGUGGCAAUUUAUGGUGCAAUGCUGAAGCUGCUAUUGUGCCCUUUUUCUAUAGUUUUCAAGGUUUAACUUAAGAUAUUGCAGAUAAGUUUUCAUACAGAGGUUUUGCUGACACUAAAACAAUAUAUUUUUCUUGAUUAUUUAGUUAUUGUCUGUUGUUAUGUCAUCUUCAUUAUAUUUUUCUAUAACUGAAAUAGAGUGAAGGUCUGGUACUGUGACGGCGGAUCUUUCACUGGUGUGGUUCUCAUGCAGUUAGUGAAAUUCUGUCUCCACUCGUGGUAUUUCUUUUCUUAUUAGUUUCAGACCACAAACUAAAUAUGAGCGCCAAGGGAUGCUACUCUAAAACUUUGGUUUAUUUUAUUUAUUGAACCACAACAAUUCAUUGUCUGAUUUCUUUCUUUUUCUUUAGGCUGCAGGCCUUUAUCUCCCGAGGUCAGUGCAUUUGGCGGGCCGCUAUGGAUGACCUAAUAGCCCAAGGACAACUCACCAUAGUUCACCCAUGCUGCUCCAAAUUCCUACCUUUAUGUGUUCAGAUCUACAUUAAAAUAAGGUAUUUUAAAUCUAACAUGUCCCAACUAUUCAUCUUUUGGGAAAAUAUAAUUGGUAGACUUGGUAGACGUAAUUUGUUCUAAUGGAAUUUCAGUUUAUUGUGCACCCAAUGUCCUUUGUUGUUUUAUCUGGGUGAGCACCUUUGGAAUACGAUUCAAAAUCCUUGGAGGGCAUCCUUCCGAAAAUCUUAAAUGGGUUGCAAAUGCAAAUAUCACUGUUAUUAUCAUAGCUUUUGGUUUGAAAGCUACUAUCUAGGUAAGAAAAGUACUGUCAUAAGCUGCAUUUAAAAUUGAUAUUCACUUGGUCAUUUGUCGAGUGGAGCUAAGUGAAAUCUAUUUUUUUAUGAGAUUAUUCACUUAGUCAUUUGUCGAGUUGAGGUAAGUGAAAUCUGUUUUUUUAUAAGAUUAUUCACUUAGUCAUUUGUCGAGUUUAAGUGAAAUCUAUUCUUUUUUAUGAGAUAUUGCAGACUUGCAGUUGCAGAUUAUGGAUUUACAUUUUUUUUUUGCUUCACUACGUAUUACCCUGAAGCCCCAUCUACUUGGUUGAUUUUAACACCAAUAUAGAAGGUGGACAUGCAGAUAGAUGGCCAUGUAUCCUCACAGGGUACAGAUUGUCCAAAUUUUAGGCAUGGAAGAACAUGGAAGCUGGAGGUGGCAAUGGUAAAUUGACCGGAGCCGUCGUCGGCACCGUUGAGCUCUAGAACCCAGGUGCACCGAGUACUAUGUUAUGCCGAAUGGAGCCUGCUGGUCGGAGUGUGAGUGGAAGGCGCCGUCGGAGGUGGUCGGCGACUGCGCGCUGGUUCCAGAACGUGUACAAGGAGGCUCGCAACGGGACAUCGCCAACCCCCAAGAACGAGUACAAGGAUGUCAUUUCAUAGAUAUAUGAAUGGAUUGAUGAAGGAUGUUUCUGUUGUUCCUGGAACCACCAUUCUUCAGGGUAGGUACACCCCAUCUCUCUCCCUCUAACUUUUCCUCUGAUUUCCUUGAUUUGGAAAGGAUUCUUCAGUGCACCCCUCACAAUUUGGUCUUAAUUUCUCUGCUUGCCAUUGGUCCUGAUUUCCCCCCAAAUCUGAAUAGUGCAGAAUACAUGUCUAUUUUAUCUGUCCAUCUAUAUACCUGCCGAAUACAUUAUGCUAAUAGUGCAUAGAAAUGCUAACAAGAGCAGCUUACUGAGUUAUACAUAUUGUUGUUCAGAUGCUGUAGUUCCUUCUCUCUGUUAGUUCUCUGAACAAUAGCUCUAAAAUUUUGCUCGACACUGUUCAUCACCACAAGCAAGCAAGCAAGCAGCCGUGAGCUCUGUGGAGGCAGCUUGUGAUCUGCUACAGUAAGCAAUCCCGUCAAGCUAUAUACACUACAUAAUUGUUAAUGGCUUGUGAACUGAUAGCAUGUUAGUGAUUAAGGUUCUCUGAUUUCUCCAACCCUAAACUGUUUUUAAUUUUGACAGGGCAUGAAUCUUAAUCUAUCUCACUAUUUACUUCAUUUUCAAGAAACAUAUUGUCCUUUUCUUUUUACAGUAGCGUUAGCAUUUUCACAAUAAGAGCAAGAUGACACACGUACUUCAAUAUGUUGCUUUGGAGCUGCGAUGCUCUGGUCCUUGGAAGACCCAUCAGCCAGAACAGAGAGGGGAAGCAACAAAAAUGGAGGCAAGGAGAAGGAAGGAAUAUGUUGCAGCGCUGUUGCCCUGUGGUGCUCGCUACUGAUGUCUAAUGGCCUAGGAUUGAUGAAAACAAGGAUUGGAAGGAAUGGAUUCGCAACGAUGAUUCCAUUUUCCUCAUUGUUGAGAUGGGUAUCCUACAAUAAUUACUGAGUACAGAUGUUGUUGAGAUUCAUUAAAGUAUCCAGUUUUCCCACUUUUCUUAUUUUAUUUUUUCACUUUCUUAUUUCUGAAGUCCAGUAUCUUUUAACACACAAUAAUGCAUGGUUUUAUUUCAUUA